rnacentral:rRNA from 1 species
UACGUAGGGUGCGAGCGUUAAUCGGAAUUACUGGGCGUAAAGCGUGCGCAGGCGGCGCGUUAAGACAGGUGUGAAAGCCCCCGAGCUUAACUUGGGAAUUGCGCUUGUGACUGGCGUGCUGGAGUGUGGCAGAGGGAGGUGGAAUUCCACGUGUAGCAGUGGAAUGCGUAGAGAUGUGGAGGAACACCGAUGGCGAAGGCAGCCUCCUGGGCCAGCACUGACGCUCAUGCACGAAAGCGUGGGGAGCAAACAGG